GUAGGUGGUUUGUCGCGUUGUUCGUGAAAUCUCACGGCUUAACUGUGAGCGUGCGGGCGAUACGGGCAGACUUGAGUACUGCAGGGGAGACUGGAAUUCCUGGUGUAGCGGUGGAAUGCGCAGAUAUCAGGAGGAACACCGGUGGCGAAGGCGGGUCUCUGGGCAGUAACUGACGCUGAGGAGCGAAAGCGUGGGGAGCGAACAGGGUUAGAUACCCUGGUAGUCCACGCCGUAAACGGUGGGUACUAGGUGUGGGUUUCCUUCCUUGGGAUCCGUGCCGUAGCUAACGCAUUAAGUACCCCGCCUGGGGAGUACGGCCGCAAGGCUAAAACUCAAAGAAAUUGACGGGGGCCCGCACAAGCGGCGGAGCAUGUGGAUUAAUUCGAUGCAACGCGAAGAACCUUACCUGGGUUUGACAUGCACAGGACGCCGGCAGAGAUGUCGGUUCCCUUGUGGCCUGUGUGCAGGUGGUGCAUGGCUGUCGUCAGCUCGUGUCGUGAGAUGUUGGGUUAAGUCCCGCAACGAGCGCAACCCUUGUCUCAUGUUGCCAGCGGGUAAUGCCGGGGACUCGUGAGAGACUGCCGGGGUCAACUCGGAGGAAGGUGGGGAUGACGUCAAGUCAUCAUGCCCCUUAUGUCCAGGGCUUCACACAUGCUACAAUGGCCGGUACAAAGGGCUGCGAUGCCGCGAGGUUAAGCGAAUCCUUUUAAAGCCGGUCUCAGUUCGGAUCGGGGUCUGCAACUCGACCCCGUGAAGUCGGAGUCGCUAGUAAUCGCAGA
rnacentral:rRNA from 1 species